rnacentral:rRNA from 1 species
GACGAACGCUGGCGGCGUGCCUAAUACAUGCAAGUUGAGCGCUGAAGGUUGGUACUUGUACCAACUGGAUGAGCAGCGAACGGGUGAGUAACGCGUGGGGAAUCUGCCUUUGAGCGGGGGACAACAUUUGGAAACGAAUGCUAAUACCGCAUAAAAACUUUAAACACAAGUUUUAAGUUUGAAAGAUGCAAUUGCAUCACUCAAAGAUGAUCCCGCGUUGUAUUAGCUAGUUGGUGAGGUAAAGGCUCACCAAGGCGAUGAUACAUAGCCGACCUGAGAGGGUGAUCGGCCACAUUGGGACUGAGACACGGCCCAAACUCCUACGGGGGGCAGCAGUAGGGAAUCUUCGGCAAUGGACGAAAGUCUGACCGAGCAACGCCGCGUGAGUGAAGAAGGUUUUCGGAUCGUAAAACUCUGUUGGUAGAGAAGAACGUUGGUGAGAGUGGAAAGCUCAUCAAGUGACGGUAACUACCCAGAAAGGGACGGCUAACUACGUG